AGAAUCAACGCUGGCGGCGUGCCUAACACAUGCAAGUCGAACGAGAAAGGGGUAGCAAUACCCUGAGUAAAGUGGCGCACGGGUGAGUAACACGUGACUAACCUACCCUUGAGUGGGGGAUAACUGAGGGAAACCUUAGCUAAUACCGCAUAAUACCCACGGGUCAAAGGAGCAAUUCGCUCGAGGAGGGGGUCGCGGCCGAUUAGUUAGUUGGCGGGGUAAUGGCCCACCAAGACGAUGAUCGGUAUCCGGCCUGAGAGGGCGCACGGACACACUGGAACUGAAACACGGUCCAGACUCCUACGGGAGGCAGCAGUGGGGAAUUUGCGCAAUGGGGGAAACCCUGACGCAGCAACGCCGCGUGGAGGAUGAAGUCCUUCGGGACGUAAACUCCUUUCGAUCGGGACGAUUAUGACGGUACCGGAAGAAGAAGCCCAGGCUAACUUCGCGCCAGCAGCCGC
rnacentral:rRNA from 1 species